rnacentral:rRNA from 1 species
AGAGUUUGAUCCUGGCUCAGAAUGAACGCUGGCGGCGUGCGUAACACAUGCAAGUCGAACGAGAAAGUCCGCUUCGGUGGAUGAGUAAAGUGGCGAACGGGUGAGUAACGCGUGGGUAACCUGCCCCUGAAUCUGGAAUAACUUCGCGAAAGCGAGGCUAAUACCGGAUAUUGUCCCAGGGACCGUGGUUCUUGUGAUGAAAGAUGACCUCUUCAUGAAAGUUGUCGUUCAGAGAGGGGCCCGCGUACCAUUAGCUAGUUGGUAGGGUAAUGGCCUACCAAGGCGAGGAUGGUUAGCUGGUCUGAGAGGAUGACCAGCCACACUGGCACUGAAACACGGGCCAGACUCCUACGGGAGGCAGCAGUGAGGAAUCUUGCGCAAUAGGGGAAACCCUGACGCAGCAACGCCGCGUGAGCGAAGAAGGCCUUCGGGUCGUAAAGCUCUGUCAAGUGGGAAAAAAGCUUACUGGUAAAUAGCCAGGAAGACUGAUGGUACCAUUGAAGGAAGCACCGGCUAACUCCGUGCCAGCAGCCGCGGUAAUACGGAGGGUGCAAGCGUUGUUCGGAAUUACUGGGCGUAAAGGGCGUGUAGGCGGUGUGGUAUGUCAGAUGUGAAAGCCCUGGGCUUAACCCAGGAAGUGCAUUUGAAACUGCCAUGCUUGAGUAUGGGAGAGGAGAGUGGAAUUCCCAGUGUAGAGGUGAAAUUCGUAGAUAUUGGGAGGAACACCCGUGGCGAAGGCGACUCUCUGGACCAAUACUGACGCUGAGGCGCGAAAGCGUGGGGAGCAAACAGGAUUAGAU